AGUGAACGCUGGCGGUAGGCCUAACACAUGCAAGUCGAACGGCAGCACAGUAAGAGCUUGCUCUUACGGGUGGCGAGUGGCGGACGGGUGAGGAAUACAUCGGAAUCUACUUUUUCGUGGGGGAUAACGUAGGGAAACUUACGCUAAUACCGCAUACGACCUACGGGUGAAAGCAGGGGAUCUUCGGACCUUGCGCGAUUGAAUGAGCCGAUGUCGGAUUAGCUAGUUGGCGGGGUAAAGGCCCACCAAGGCGACGAUCCGUAGCUGGUCUGAGAGGAUGAUCGGCCACACUGGAACUGAGACACGGUCCAGACUCCUACGGGAGGCAGCAGUGGGGAAUAUUGGACAAUGGGCGCAAACCUGAUCCAGCCAUACCGCGUGGGUGAAGAAGGCCUUCGGGUUGUAAAGCCCUUUUGUUGGGAAAGAAAAGCAGCAGGUUAAUACCCCGCUGUUCUGACGGUACCCAAAGAAUAAGCACCGGCUAACUUCGUG
rnacentral:rRNA from 1 species